rnacentral:rRNA from 1 species
UACGUAGGGUGCGAGCGUUGUCCGGAAUUACUGGGCGUAAAGGGCGCGUAGGCGGCACUGUUAGUCAGGCGUGAAAUUCCUGGGCUCAACCUGGGGACUGCGCUUGAUACGGCAGAGCUAGAGGAUGGAAGAGGCUCGCGGAAUUCCCAGUGUAGAGGUGAAAUUCGUAGAUAUUGGGAAGAACACCGGUGGCGAAGGCGGCGAGCUGGUCCAUUACUGACGCUGAGGCGCGACAGCGUGGGGAGCAAACAGG